GACGUAGGGCGCGAGCGUUGUCCGGAUUUAUUGGGCGUAAAGAGCUCGUAGGCGGCUUGUUGCGUCGACUGUGAAAACCCGCGGCUUAACUGCGGGCUUGCAGUUGAUACGGGCAGGCUAGAGUUCGGUAGGGGAGACUGGAAUUCCUGGUGUAGCGGUGGAAAUGCGCAGAUAUCAGGAGGAACACCGGUGGCGAAGGCGGGUCUCUGGGACGGUACUGACGCUGGAGACGCGAAAGCGUGGGGAGCGAACAGG
rnacentral:rRNA from 1 species